rnacentral:tRNA from 1 species
GGUCCGUUGGUGUAACGGUUAACACUACCUAUUCUGGCGUAUUGUCGUGAUUGCACAGCCGCGGCCGUACGGUAGCGUGGAAGUUACCGGUUCGAAUCCGGUACGGGCCA